GCCCAGUUCACUGUUGCCUCGCGUUAUUCCAUCAUCCAUAUUUCUGCUCUUAGUUGCUUUAUAAUGUGUCAGCAGUAAUCAGCCCUGCUGUAUUAUAUAUUGUGCUUGAUUGUUGAUACCUAAUUAAUUAACUGUUUACGAUGGCAGUUAUGGUGGAUGAUGAUUAAUCACUCUACAAUCGCCUGUCACGUGACUUCUUCAACCCGUUCUGUAGAUGGCCCUAAACAACUAUUCGAAACCCGGAAACCAUAACCCUCUAAUCAGAUCCCAACCCUAACGGCCUAACCCUAACCAAAUCCUUAACAAAAGCAUAUACUGAAACACUAUAGAGAAAUUAGGCUAACUUCCUUAUACGGUCAUAUCACGUGAGCGAGACAGUUUUUCGCCAAUAUCUCGUUAGGGGAGAAUUUUAACCUUAUGUCAUGGGGGUAAUAGGUAAGUACUUAGUAACCUCUUUGCUUUUAUUCGAGCCUUUUAUUAAAUCGAAGUUACAGUUCACGAGGUUGAUCCUUUGGGAGAUAUUAAAUCCUGUUUUACUAUUAUUUAUAAAUUCUAACGUUUAACUUUAAUAAUAAUAAGUAAGUUUGGACGCAGACUAGAAACGAGUUUAAUCGACUAAGUUUUUGAUUUUGUGUACCUUUUUAUCAUACAACUUUUUAAUUUCAGCAAAUUUUAGUUAAAGAGUAAAUCAAAGUUAGCAAUCAUUGAACUCAAUAGUUAAAAAGGUGACUGUAAAAAUAGAACUAAGAUUUCGAUACUUUUAAAUGAACUUCUAGUUCUAAUGAUAUAAUUUUAAAUUAUUAGAUGUUUAAAUUUUCCUGAUAGCUGGAUCAUAGUCAUGUAGAAAUUAGGUUAAACAUUGUCAUGCAGAAAUUAGGUUGAAAUAAUUUUGUCCAUAGAAAACACAGUCACGCCUUACAUUAUUACAAGCUUUAAAGGGCUCGUGAGUCGUGUUAGUGUUACUAUUACUUUUGAGCUUGAAAGCAGACAAAACUUUGCUUAUUUGUUUGUUUAUUAUUUUGUUUGUUAUUAGAGAAAGAAGACAAUAUUACCUCUCGAUUAUUUCAGGAGAAGCUAAAAGCGCUGAAAGACAAAGAAGCAUCUCCCGCAGGAGCUGUUGAAUCAGCACGCUGAAGAAGUACAGAGACUGGUGAACAAGCUGAUAAACUCAGACAGCAGCAAAAACUUCAAGCUGAACAGGAAGCUGUACAACAACCGGUCUGACAAGUUACAAGUGGUGGACCUACAUCAUCUAGAUGUACAGGUACAAAUUCUACUAGUACGAUUCGAUGCAGUGGAAGAGGUUGAAGUUGACGUUUAAGCAGUCACCCUGCCGAACAAGAAAUCAGUCAGGCAAAGAGGCUAGGUUGACUAGAAACUCAAUCACUAUAUCCGUGAAACUUGCUGGAAGCUAUGUGUGGAGGUCGGACCGAAACUGUAAUCAGACACUAAACAUUAACGAGGACCAAUUAUUUUACUCCCUUAAUGAUGAAUAAAGAUCGCUGAUUGCUUUUACUAAUAUAUAGUGUUAAAAUGAAAGAGAAACUGUUGAGACGAAAGAGAAAAACGCACUCAUUUAUUUAUAGUUUUAUGUCUUAACAAUGUUAUUCGAAAGCUAAUUUUAAAAGCUGGCUCUGAAUCCUUGCUAAAUGAUUUGGGAAGGUGUAAGGGCUAAAUAUGCCUGUAGACAUCAUUUUCAGUGGGUUUUAUGAAGUUUAUGAUUAGGGUAUAUUUUGGGACUGAAAUAAGCGCAAGACCUUCGACGUUUCUAUUCCUACUGUUUUUUUAAUUUAGCAAAUAUACAAAAAAAAAUUAUACUGUCGUAAAGAUAAAAUGUUUAGUCAUCGGAUAGAUACUUCAAAAUUAAGUAUUAAAAUAACCGAGCUAAGAUAUUCAAUGUUAAACUCAAAAAUGUUCACGCGUUUAUGAAGAAAUAUCUAAUUCUGCGCGUAGUUUUUUGGUCAC